GUGCCCGUAGCUCAGCGGUAGAGCAUCUGACUUUUAAUCAGAGGGUCGCGGGUUCGAUCCCCGCCGGGCACGCCA
rnacentral:tRNA from 1 species